rnacentral:rRNA from 1 species
CUACGGGUUGCACCAGUGGGGAAUCUUAGACAAUGGGGGAAACCCUGAUCUAGCCAUGCCGCGUGAGUGAUGAAGGCCUUAGGGUCGUAAAGCUCUUUCGCCAGGGAUGAUAAUGACAGUACCUGGUAAAGAAACCCCGGCUAACUCCGUGCCAGCAGCCGCGGUAAUACGGAGGGGGUUAGCGUUGUUCGGAAUUACUGGGCGUAAAGCGCGCGUAGGCGGAUUAGAAAGUUGGGGGUGAAAUCCCGGGGCUCAACCCCGGAACUGCCUCCAAAACUACUAGUCUAGAGUUCGAGAGAGGUGAGUGGAAUUCCGAGUGUAGAGGUGAAAUUCGUAGAUAUUCGGAGGAACACCAGUGGCGAAGGCGGCUCACUGGCUCGAUACUGACGCUGAGGUGCGAAAGUGUGGGGAGCAAACAGGAUUAGAUACCCUUGUAGUC